AGCAUACAAGGAAAAACAGUGGGAGAAGGCUAUUGGUUGUUAUACCGAAGCCAUCAAACUUAACAGCAGAAAUGCUACAUAUUACAGUAAUAGGGCUGCAGCAUAUUUAGAGCUUAGAAGGUUUCACCAAGCAGAGGCAGAUUGCAGUAAAGCUAUUGACCUGGAUAAAAAGAAUGUUAAAUCCUAUUUACGAAGGGGUACAGCGAGAGAGAUGCUUGGUUUUUACAAGGAAGCAAUUGAAGAUUUUAGUCAUGCCCUUGUUCUUGAGCCAACAAACAAAAGA
rnacentral:misc_RNA from 1 species